AUGGCAUCAUCUUCUUGGAAAAAAUGGCCCGAUCAUGAGCGGGAUAAAUGGCGUGAUGAUCUGAGAGAUAUAGAUUUUUGGCUGAAGGGAUACAGUCACACGCCAGAGUAUGCUGACUUCAUGUUUCUAAUGCUUCUACCUUUUUCUCAUGGGUCCGUACAUUGGAAUGUUGGGGUAGGACCCAUGGCUUCAUUCAGACGUGCCAUUACAGCCAUGGCUUUGGAUAUAGUGUGUAAGCACUCUGCUCCCUUUGAUCACUUGGUAAAGGUGGAUCUGAGGCCCACGCCAACGGAAGACCAAGCCCAAGGAACAGGCUUGAUGAGCAUCAAGUACCAGUUGGCCGUAGCUGCGGCAAAGGAGCUGGACCUGCUUGUCCCAGAAUACAACCGGCUCAAAGAACAACAUGAAGAGGUACAGUACUACACCUAUGGGUCGCGGUAUGAUGGUGGUGCGUCUGAACGAUUGGAGCUAUACGUGCGGCAAGCAAUUGUUCCUCAGAUCAUCAAACAGUUGUUAACCAAGAGGUACUUGCUAGUGGUCGAGAACCUCCAGUGGCCAAUUGAGCCAGGCAAUUUAACAGCAGAUGUUGGGCUUCCUCCACCCUCGUGGGAAGCGUCUGCAUGGAUCUUCGAUGCCACUUCUCGUGAUGCCUAUUACAAGAGCAAGUCAGUGGGUGAUAGAUUAAUACCUUCAUAUGAAACACAUGGAGUGGUUGUGUUUCUCACUGCCUUUGCACUGCAUCAGUCGGCCGAGUACAUACUCAACAUGAUCUCUCAAGAAAGCAAGGAGUAUUGGCAUCGCAUAGCCCUCCAUUGCUUCCACUAUGCCAUGGUGAUGUUUGCUGGACAUUCACAAGUUGUGGCUGUUACCUCGGACGAGCUCAUCCACCAGUGGGCUGUCCAAGGCAUCUUGCCACAUAUGGCCCUCGAAAAAGAAGAAACCAGCACCAAGUGUUCCCAUAUGCAUCAAGUUGGAAAUCUCAUAAUUGAAGCAUUUCAGAAAUACUCUUUGUUGCAGCUACCUUUUUCUCCUGCUGAUGGAGCUUAUGACGCCACCAAUACCGGCGCACAAUUCUUAGCGUACCACGGCAUAGUUGCAGAAGGAAUCACAAUUGAAGAACUCUUUGAUAACAAGAAAAAAUGGAUUUCCUUCGUCGGAGACGACGGAUUGCAUGUAAGCCGAGAAUGGUUGAGCCUAGAGGAAACCAGGGGGCCGACUGCACUAAUUCUGAGAGGCUGCUCACAACAAUCGCUCGUACUUUCCAAGCUGGACUAUUUCUUGCCCAAAAUUUGUUUCCUCCGUGCUCUUGAUCUCUCCUACACUCCUAUAAAAUCUCUUCCUUCUUCCAUGUCUUGCUUACUAAGCCUUCGCCUGCUUUCCCUUAGAGGCUGUCAUGAUCUUAAAACUCUUUCCAGUUCAUCUACAGUAACCGUCACCAACUCAUCAACAAAUAUUAGUCCAUAUUCACCAUUGUCCACUCUAUACCAACUUCAAAUUCUUGACAUGAAUGGAGUUCCUUGUUCUCAGCUAACACAAGAUGUGGCCAAGCAAAAGAGCAAUUUGAUUCACCUCGACAUGUCCUAUUCAGAAAUAACUACUUUUCCUCCUACUUUUUUUGAGAACAUGUCAAAUCUUGAAGAACUUAUCAUGACCAGCUGUUCAAACCUUGUGGAGCUUCCUCCUUCCAUGGCUUCUCUAUCCAACCUAACGACCCUUGAGUUCACAGCGACUCGGAUAAAAUACUUUCCACACAAGAUAUUUGAAGAAAUGCAGAAGCUACAGUCGUUGAAGCUAAUCGAGAACAAGGAAUUGAUUUCACUUACAGGGCCAAUCUCUGGUGACCACAGAACCAAAUUGGAAGGCCAUCCAAACAUUGUAUCCUUCAUGCUGAUCGGCACACCUCAUAUGAGGGGUUUGUCUUUGCGUGGAUGUAGAAAACUUGAGUCUGUCGAGAUCAAGGAUCUUGGUGAUUUGGAGGAGCUUGAUUUGUCUGGUACAAGUAUCAAGGAGCUCGGUGAUGAAAUCCCUAAUCUUCCCCAGCUUAGGAGAUUGCUCCUUGGGGGUGUUCCUUUUCUGAGGCGAUUUCCUUGGCAUAAGUUGGAGCGACUCCCUGAUGUGUUUUACAUGGAUCACUGUUCAGAAGGAAAUGUUAAUCACUCUAGUCAAGUUUCCAAAGUGUGUGUUACUGACCCAAGGUUCUUCCAUAGCUUUAAUGACACAGUUGUGGAUUUAAUAACAGAUGGACAGUUUUUCCAAUCAUUCUAUGUUCGAGUUGCACCAUGCACUACAAAUAGCAUGCAACUGCAAGAUGAAGAAGUCAUGCUACAUAACAAGUUGCAGCAGUUUGUUCAGAAGCAAGCAACAUAUCCUGAUGUAUAUGACAAUUGUUAUGUAGAGAAAAUUGCAGUUCCGUCACCAAAAACAAUUCCCCUUCAUCGUACUGAGCGCCAUGUGGAGAUCACAGGGACGCAAUUGGGAAUUGAUGGUUUAAGCUAUCUUCUAAGAGUCACCAAAUCAAUUUCGGUGGCAUGUGAUACUUCUAUCAAUUAUUUUGAUGACUCGGCCCAUUUUUACGAGCUAGAAGAAUGUGGGAUACGUUGGUGCCAUAAAAUGGAAAGUGUUUUCAAUGGAAGCACAGGCUUGGAAAAACUACGCAAUAUGCAUGUGUGUGAUCUCAAAAGUCUUGUUUGGCUCUGUUCACAGUAUAGUUCUUUUGCCUUCAGUUCACUAGAGCACCUGCACCUGGAGAACUGCCCUAGAUUGGAGCACGUGCUGCCACAAACAACAACACUGCCAUGCCUCAAGACACUUAACAUCCUGUUCUGCUACAAACUCAAGACAAUUAUCAUCAGCAAUUAUAUACAAGAGAAUACUUAUCAGCUCCCAAGCCUCCAAAGGAUACGUCUCCAGGAGUUGCCACAGCUCCAGCACUUCCAUGACAAGGACGCCACCAUCACAUCACCUGUGUGGAAGGAGCUCCACAUCCGAGGGUGCUGGAGCCUCCGACGCCUCCCACUCCUAGAAGGAUGCCAGCCGGAGACAGUGAAGGUGAACGGCGAGAGGAGCUGGUGGAGCAAGCUCCAGUGGGGCUCACCCCUGCACCACGACAGUUACAACCCCAAGCUGCCCCCGGAGUUCGCCUCAUUCGAUGAGUGCGCCGAGAUGAGCAGCUACCUCAGAUGA
rnacentral:rRNA from 1 species